rnacentral:rRNA from 1 species
AACUGAUUUAGAGGACAGUGGCGGACUGGUGAGUAACGCGUGAGGAACCUGCCUUUCAGAGGGGGACAACAGUUGGAAACGACUGCUAAUACCGCAUGAUGCAUUUUGAUCGCAUGGUCGAAAUGCCAAAGAUUUAUCGCUUCAAGAUGGCCUCGCGUCUGAUUAGCUGGUUGGCGGGGUAACGGCCCACCAAGGCGACGAUCAGUAGCCGGACUGAGAGGUUGAACGGCCACAUUGGGACUGAGAUACGGCCCAGACUCC